GCCUUCGUGGUGUAGUGGUCAGCACGCUCGGAGUGCAUUCGAGAGGUCCGUGGUUCGAGUCCAGGCGAUGGCA
rnacentral:tRNA from 1 species